rnacentral:rRNA from 1 species
CCUACGGUGGGCUGCAGUGGGGAAUAUUGGACAAUGGGCGAAAGCCUGAUCCAGCCAUGCCGCGUGUGUGAAGAAGGCCUUCGGGUUGUAAAGCACUUUCAGUGGGGAAGAAAGCCUUGGGGCUAAUACCCUCGAGGAAGGACAUCACCCACAGAAGAAGCACCGGCUAACUCCGUGCCAGCAGCCGCGGUAAUACGGAGGGUGCGAGCGUUAAUCGGAAUUACUGGGCGUAAAGCGCGCGUAGGCGGUCUGAUAAGCCGGUUGUGAAAGCCCCGGGCUCAACCUGGGAACGGCAUCCGGAACUGUCAGGCUAGAGUGCAGGAGAGGAAGGUAGAAUUCCCGGUGUAGCGGUGAAAUGCGUAGAGAUCGGGAGGAAUACCAGUGGCGAAGGCGGCCUUCUGGACUGACACUGACGCUGAGGUGCGAAAGCGUGGGUAGCAAACAGGAUUAGAUACCCCAGUAGUC